rnacentral:rRNA from 1 species
GAAGGACCUAGUAGUGAAGCUGUAUUUUGCGAGGAAAGACGAGAGAGAGGAUGGGGCGGACAAGUGGAGUCUAGGGCUAGAAGGAUAGCUAAGGACAGCAGCGGCGCGGGUACAGCUCCGGCGGCGGGGGAACGUGCGGCGUUUUGGGAUGGGGCCGAGGGUCUGGCCCGCCAGGGAGAGGGAGGAGGUAAGAAGGCCGAAGGAAGAGAUUGGAGGUCUAGAGGGCGCGGGGGGGCGGUAAACGAAGGCAGCCCGAAGGCGUUCCCCUACCGGGGCACCGCAGCAGCUAGGCCCCAGGCGUCCGUGGGGGAGGACCGUGGGCGGGCAAGGGACCAUGAGGCAGCGGCGGCCCGAGCGAGAAGCGGGCGUGUCGCGGCAGCCAGGUCGUCAGAGGAGGGAAACCGCGAGGUGAGCGCCGCGUCAGCAAUGUCGGCGUCUCCGGAGGGAAGUUACCGGGCGGCGGGCACGACGGCCGCGUCCACGUUGCUCGCGGUAAACCUCUAGGCGGGCGCCGUAGGGUCGGAGAAGGCAAGCCACCCGGUGGACGACGCCACAGCGUCGGACGGGGAAAGCCACAGAGAGGACAUCGUUGUCGGGUUAGACGAGGUAACCCACGGGGGGGCAUAAGUCGUCGAGUCGGUGGUGGCAAAUCGCCCGACAGACCCCGUCACAGAGCUGGACGGAUGAGACCACCCAGCUAGGGGGGCAAACCCCGACGUGCCCCUGGGAGCGUCGUCCCACGAAUACCACCCGGAGGCGUCAAACCGCCCCUCUCUGGUCCUAACGUCUGAGGCGAUAAACCCCGAGUCUGGCGUGGACGUAGAGUCGGUGGUGGCAAGUACCCCCAAGGACCCCGAUUACGUGGUCGUAAAGCCGGAGGUCCCACCGUUCCCGUCUGUGCUGGUCCUUGGCACUCUUACGGACCGUACGGACCACGGUACGGCGGAUUACGUGAUCCGGUCCCCUACGGUAGGUGUGGGUGGUACGGUAUGAGAGGGGUACGACCUCGGGUCCAGAGAUGGGGUAGGUUUUAGCUGGGAUUAGUCUAAGGUGCAGGAUAAUGGCUCUGCAGUCAACAGUAAAAACUCUGAGCCGUUCGACCGGUUCGUCGACAAGGCGGCCGACGUAGUUCACUUAAAUAACACUUCCUGUGGCCGUUAACGUCAGGGGCAAACUACGCCACGUGGUACUUAGUCUAUGGUACAUGCCCACUAGAGAACUGUUGUAGUCCUUACGGUAACCGAUAUUACCACGUUGGAAAACGAGAAGGGGUAGGAAGACUCCUCCGAUAGGUCGAGCACCUAAAACCCCUCUACCCGGGAUAGUCCACAAGAGCGACGUUUCGCAUGUAUUUAGGUAAGUACUCUAAGCAACUAGUUCCCUUUUAAAAGUAGACAUUGAAUACACCUAAAUCGUUACUAUGAGGUUCCCUCAUGAACACGUUGAAUCCCGGACUACCAUCCGCUGCACUACGACUACUGUCCGGACUCAAUACAUCUCCUUGUCAACUUAAGUAACGGUGGUUCCUUAAAGACCAGGCCCUUGGUUACGGUCGACAGAUAAAGAAGGAACAACUACAGAGGUACUUACGGUAUGUCUGACCACGUUGACGACGCCGAACGUCACGUUAUAGGGUCAGAGAAAGACUAGAAGGACUUCCAGGGGCUUGCUACCAACCCUAACGCUGUAAACUAAGAUGAUAAGUGAAGAUAUCAGACUUUGCACGAGUUGUUGUCGGAAACUACGAGUAACAAGGACUGUAUGUUCUACACAUAUGAGGUGAAGUCUACCUGAAUUAAGAAGGUCAAAGACUCACGGCACUAUCAAACCUCGUUGAUGAACUCUCGUAGGGCUCGUACAAACUUUUGUUAUCCCAACGACUAAGUCGCAAACCCCGUCGAUACUUCCGUCCAAAGGAUCGUUACUUCGGGUGACCACCUUUCAACGAACACAAAGUCAGCCACGAUGGUAGUCAACCCUGACCAAGUAAUAGACGUUCCCUUUGACUGCCAUCUAGUUUAUAAAACUCACCUCUAUUCCUUCGUGUAUUCGAGGACGUCGGACAACUAUUCUGUGAGUUUUGUUACCGUGAUCUUAAACGACUCAUAGUUCAAACACAUCUACACAAGGAAUGGUGUGUCAGUAUGUGUCUACAACGAAGCUAUAGUCAACAAGGGUCAUGGUGACCACCGGCCCAUACGGAGAGAAGUUAUCAAUCCAAAUGAUGAUAAAAGGUAAAAGACGAGAAAGACUGGGUCGGUUUGAGAAGUUGCUAGAGUCUACCUCAUAGUGGUCUGGGGUCCCCAAACUCCGACAGUACGCNNNNNNNNNNNNNNUCCCCGAAGUUCAAGUUCUGAUAAGACCGUUAAAGACGUUCGCGCAGGGAUGACUAUAACUAAACGGACACUAACUGAGACUGUUUUGGUAUUACCAAAGGAAAUUCGUACUACUAUUCAAAGUCCUCUUAAGUCUUACACCAAAAGUCACACGUGAAGAAAUGUGGUGCCAUAUACCCGUUUCUUCCUAUGCUCAAUAUUUAUAAAGUGAAGGUACAUGUUCGUACGAGUCGUUGGAAAAGGCUACACGACUAGACCUUCGUGUCAAAUGCAUACAACAAUUCGUUCGACGUUUACCGUAAGGUAGUUCAAGGGAUAGGGUUCAAUCCCUGGUUCAUUGUUCAUGUACGUAGUUAUAAGAGGUCAGGAUGGCUGUUAUAACACGUAGACAUUCAAGAAGACCUGUCAAUUAAGAAGGCCUCCGAAAUUUUGAAGACGGAAACAUAUGAGACCGGAAUUGAUUUUCGUAUCCUGACUCCUUACUACCCUCUAAUCUACUAGCCAGGAUAACCCAGAGAUAACAGAGAAGUCAAAGACACAGUAAUCGACAAGGUAACCACAAGGGAUCCUACUAACGAGAGGUACUAGAAUGUAGUUCCCUACUACUUCUAGGGGAAUAAGGUUUAGGGGAACGAGAAUUAUCACUCUUAUAUGUCCUAUUACCCUAAAUAAAUAACCUUUUACCGCUCCUACCAAAAUAAGUACAGCCUUUACGCCACUUGGGACGGUGGGAGCUCGUUUAUAAACCAAAGAGUAGAAACCGACCACGUGGUUUAGACAACCAUAACCUCGUUAAACUAUUACAUAACAGGUCUUUUCAUUUACUUCAACACUUACUUUAUUCCGCUGUCUCCACGAGGAUGGAUUCUGACUCUGAUACGGUUUUCCCGCUGGGUAGACCAAGAAGAGUGACAAAAGAGGGAGACAAUGGAGUAUAGAAGAAUAAUGAGGACUGUGAACAAAGACAUAGACGUCCUCUAAAGAAGGCAAGGGACAACCAACUCCUGUUUCGUGGGCCACCGGAAAGAAUACAUCUCAAGGAGCAUGUACAAGUGUCCGUUUAGGUCUCGUUCUACUGGACUGUACUGGACGAAAUAACAACAUUACAAAACCAACCAUCUUUAGUUCCUUAACUAAAGACGUACACCUAUAUGUUUUUCCUUCGUUGCAAAAAGAAACAUUUUGUGUCGAUAUCGUGUAAACAUUCCUAAGAUCAGAAACUAAAAUGUUUCAGUCAAAACCACAUCCACCAUAUACAAAACACAAAACGCUGUUCCUACUCAAACCGUUCCAUUUAUAAAUAGAUAAAUUUGAGACU